GUUGAAAAACCAUGGGAUGAGCUGUGGAUAGCGGAGAAAUUCCAAUCGAACUCGGAGAUAGCUGGUUCUCCUCGAAAUAGCUUUAGGGCUAGCGUCGUGUAAUUGAGUAAUGGAGGUAGAGCACUGAAUGGGCUAGGGGCUAUAGUAGUUACCGAACCCUAUCAAACUCCGAAUGCCAUAUACUUGUAUCACGGCAGUCAGACUGCGAAUGAUAAGAUCCGUAGUCAAAAGGGAAACAGCCCAGACCAUCAGCUAAGGUCCCAAAGUGUAAGUUAAGUGGAAAAGGAUGUGGGAUUUCUAAGACAACUAGGAUGUUGGCUUAGAAGCAGCCACUCAUUUAAAGAGUGCGUAAUAGCUCACUAGUCAAGAGAUCCUGCGCCGAAGAUGUCCGGGGCUCAAACUUACCACCGAAGCUAUGGGUGUACACUAUGUGUACGCGGUAGAGGAGCUUUCUGUAUGGGUUGAAGUCGUACCGUAAGGAGCGGUGGACUGUACAGAAGUGAGAAUGCUGGCAUAAGUAGCGAGAAAUAAGUGAGAAUCUUAUUGGCCGAAAACCUAAGGUUUCCUGGGGAAGGUUCGUCCGCCCAGGGUUAGUCGGGACCUAAGCCGAGGCCGAAAGGCGUAGGGGAUGGACAAUCGGUUGAUAUUCCGAUACCGCCUAUUUACGUUUGAGAAAUGGGGUGACGCAGUAGGAUAAGAUGUGCGCACUAUUGGAUGUGCGUCUAAGCACUUAGGCAUGCUUGAUAGGCAAAUCCGUCGAGCUAAGCUGAGGUGUGAUGGGGAGCCAUUUAUGGCGAAGUAUCUGAUUCCACACUGCCAAGAAAAGCCUCUAUCGAGUGAAUGGGUGCCCGUACCGCAAACCGACACAGGUAGGUGAGGAGAGAAUCCUAAGGCCAUCGGAAGAAUUGCUGUUAAGGAACUCGGCAAAUUGACCCCGUAACUUCGGGAGAAGGGGUGCCUACGAAAGUAGGCCGCAGAGAAUAGGCCCAAGCAACUGUUUAGCAAAAACACAGGUCUCUGCUAAAGCGAAAGCUGAUGUAUAGGGGCUGACGCCUGCCCGGUGCUGGAAGGUUAAGGGGAACACUUAGCGUAAGCGAAGGUGUGAACUUAAGCCCCAGUAAACGGCGGCCGUAACUAUAACGGUCCUAAGGUAGCGAAAUUCCUUGUCGGGUAAGUUCCGACCCGCACGAAUGGCGUAAUGAUUUGGGCACUGUCUCAACAGCAAAUCCGGCGAAAUUGUAGUGCAAGUGAAGAUGCUUGCUACCCGCGAUUGGACGGAAAGACCCCGUAGAGCUUUACUGUAGCUUAGCAUUGAAUCUCGGUAUUGUCUGUACAGGAUAGGUGGGAGACUUGGAA
rnacentral:rRNA from 1 species